rnacentral:misc_RNA from 1 species
GAAAUGCGAUAAGUAGUGUGAAUUGCAGAAUUCAGUGAAUCAUCGAAUCUUUGAACGCACAUUGCGCCCUAUGGUAUUCCGUAGGGCAUGCCUGUUCGAGCGUCAUUUACACCUUCAAGCCUUGCUUGGUGUUGGGUGACUGUGGCCCCUUUGGGGCCACUCGCCUUAAAGUCAUUGGCGGCCGGUUCGUUGGCUUUGUAGCGCAGCACAAUUGCGUCCUCGAAGCCGCUGGACCAGCUCCAGAAGCUAAUUUUAAAUGUUUGACCUCGAAUCAGGUAGGGAUACCCGCUGAACUUAAGC